rnacentral:rRNA from 1 species
UGGGGAAUAUUGCACAAUGGGCGCAAGCCUGAUGCAGCAACGCCGCGUGAGCGAUGAAGGCCUUCGGGUCGUAAAGCUCUGUCCUGGGGGAAGAAUAAAUGACGGUACCCCGGGAGGAAGCCCCGGCUAACUACGUGCCAGCAGCCGCGGUAAUACGUAGGGGGCAAGCGUUAUCCGGAAUUAUUGGGCGUAAAGAGUGCGUAGGUGGUUUGAUAAGCGCAUAGGUUAAAGGCUACAGCUCAACUGUAGUAAGCCUUGCGAACUGUCAAACUUGAGUGCAGGAGAGGAGAGUGGAAUUCCUAGUGUAGCGGUGAAAUGCGUAGAUAUUAGGAGGAACACCAGUGGCGAAGGCGACUCUCUGGACUGUAACUGACACUGAGGCACGAAAGCGUGGGGAGCA